UAAGGAAUAUUGGUCAAUGGACGAAAGUCUGAACCAGCCAUGCCGCGUGGAGGAUGAAGGUCCUCUGGAUUGUAAACUUCUUUUAUCUGGGACGAAAAAAGGUCUUUCUAGAUCGUCUGACGGUACCAGAUGAAUAAGCACCGGCUAACUCCGUGCCAGCAGCCGCGGUAAUACGGAGGGUGCAAGCGUUAUCCGGAUUCACUGGGUUUAAAGGGUGCGUAGGUGGGUUGGUAAGUCAGNGGUGAAAUCUUCGACUUAACUCGGAAACUGCCAUUGAUACUAUCAGUCUUGAAUAUUGUGGAGGUUAGCGGAAUAUGUCAUGUAGCGGUGAAAUGCUUAGAUAUGACAUAGAACACCAAUUGCGAAGGCAGCUGGCUACACAUAUAUUGACACUGAGGCACGAAAGCGUGGGGAUCAAACAGGAUUAGAUACCCUGGUAGUCCACGCCCUAAACUAUGGAUACUCGACAUACGCGAUACACUGUGUGUGUCUGAGCGAAAGCAUUAAGUAUCCCCACCUGGGAAGUACGAUCGCAGAUUGAAACUCAAAGGAAU
rnacentral:rRNA from 1 species